CAUCAUAUGAUGCAUAGAGAUUUUGUGUCUGCUAUUAUAUUUGUUUUGUACAAAGAGGCUAUACACAGUUUUGUAUUAUUUUUUCUAAAAAAUGAAAAAGUAUUUAUUAUGCAGAUUUGCAUAUUCUCCAAUAUGUGGCCGCAAUUUUUAUAAAAUUUGUCGGA